GGCAGCCUAGUGCUUACCACAGGCUGUGUUCUUACACUGACUGUAAAGAAAGAUGAAGUAAAAUAAACCAACCUCAUAUACACCCCAGCCCAGGCCCUGUGCCUGGUGUGUAUUGUGAAUGGGGCAUACAGAG
rnacentral:snoRNA from 1 species